rnacentral:rRNA from 2 species
UACGGAGGGUGCAAGCGUUAUCCGGAUUCACUGGGUUUAAAGGGAGCGCAGGCGGAUUGGUAAGUCAGUGGUGAAAGGCUUGAGCUUAACUCGGGAACUGCCAUUGAUACUAUCAGUCUUGAAUAUUGUUGAGGUUUGCGGAAUGGGUCAUGUAGCGGUGAAAUGCAUAGAUAUGACCCGGAACACCUAUUGCGAAGGCAGCAGGCUAAACAAAGAUUGACGCUGAGGCUCGAAAGCGUGGGGAUCAAACAGG